rnacentral:rRNA from 1 species
UACGUAGGGUGCGAGCGUUGUCCGGAAUUAUUGGGCGUAAAGAGCUCGUAGGCGGUUUGUCGCGUCGACUGUGAAAACCUGGGGCUUAACUCUGGGCCUGCAGUCGAUACGGGCAGACUUGAGUUCGGUAGGGGAGACUGGAAUUCCUGGUGUAGCAGUGAAAUGCGUAGAUAUCAGGAGGAACACCGAUGGCGAAGGCAGGUCUCUGGGCUGACACUGACGCUCAUGCACGAAAGCGUGGGGAGCAAACAGG